rnacentral:pre_miRNA from 1 species
UGGAAGUAGACUGGGAAGAGCCAUAUGAUACAAGUAUGUAUCAUUUCAGUGAACAUGUAGCUCCAGCAAGAGAGAGUAAGAGCUUGAGUGAAGCCCACAAAAACCAGAGCCUAUUGCAGAAGUGGUGCAAGAAGCAAGACAAGUACAUCAACAAGUUCAUAAAGGGUAUGAAGUCUCUGAAGGGCAUGGUUAGCUGCUCCUCUUCCAGCACAGCAAUACCA